rfam:Sulfitobacter sp. EhC04 A4_Contig9, whole genome shotgun sequence.
AUCCCUACCUCGGGGGGCCCAAUAGGGCUGAGAUUGUGCAAGCUGACCCGUUGAACCUGAACCGGUUAACACCGGCGGAGGGAAGGUCUGGACAUCCAUC